ACAAGGUUCACAUACAAAGUCUCUCAUGAUAAUUACCUACAGUGAGGAGCGAGGUAGUGAGCGAGGAAGAGCGGGACGAAGUACUGUGGACGAGCGAGUGCUCGCCGUGGGUGGCGGGUGUUCGGCGUGGUCAGGACGCUCGCCUUCAGUGUGAGGUGGUCGCCCCCACAGGCUCUGUCCUCACGUGGUACAAGGACGGCGCGCCACUGCACCGAGAGGGUGCCAAAGUCGAAGUAGUUUCCACGCCCCAAGAGCUUCUAGAAGAAGCGACCAACAUGCUGAGUCUGGAGGAGCUGUCCUCAACGGCGUCCGCUUCUGCCUCCGUCCUGCAAAUCUCCUCCGUUGUCUACUUGGACUGCGUGUCCGACCAACACCAGGUCUGUUAGCAUCAAACAUAGAAUCAUCCUAACCAUACUUGAAAAUAUGCAAUUGCCUUUACAUUAUUUUUUUUAUUUUUUAUCCUUACACAGGCAACAUACAAGUUGGAAGUGAGGGCACCACGGAGUCAGAAAUCUUACUCGUCUUUUUACUGUAGUUAUCGUAGGUAAGUUCACUUCAUUGUUAAUGAACAAUUAGCGAUUCCUAUGUAAUAUGCUUACUACAGAAUGUAGAUACAGGUGCGAACGCUACAGUGGAAAUAAUAUGUAUAUCCUCUGGUGUGAGAACAGGCAACGAAAGCGAGGCAUUGGAGGAAGGCCCCACGUGCCGCCUGGGCGGCCUCGUUAACGCUCUGCCUCGCAUCUACCAACACUCCUCCGCGGCCAUGGGCCAUGUAGGGGACUCCGUGACGUUGCCUUGCCGCUCGCAGGGCCACAACGUCACUCGGGAAUGGUUCCUCAACGACGAGAGGAUUUCUGGCGACGACACUUAUCAGAUCUCAGGGAUCGGC